rnacentral:rRNA from 1 species
UUCCUACGGGGCGCAGCAGUGGGGAAUAUUGCACAAUGGGGGAAACCCUGAUGCAGCGACGCCGCGUGAGUGAAGAAGUAUCUCGGUACGUAAAGCUCUAUCAGCAGGGAAGAAAAAAAGUCUUUGGCUUUGGACGGUACCUGACUAAGAAGCCCCGGCUAACUACGUGCCAGCAGCCGCGGUAAUACGUAGGGGGCAAGCGUUAUCCGGAUUUACUGGGUGUAAAGGGAGCGUAGGCGGUAAUGCAAGUCAGAAGUGAAAGCCCGGGGCUCAACUCCGGGACUGCUUUUGAAACUGUGUUACUA